ACGCACGCUGGCGGCGUGCUUCACCCCUGCCAGUCGCACGGAAAGGCCCUGCUUGCAGGGUGCUCGAGUGGCGAACGGGUGAGUAACACGUGGGUGAUCUGCCCCUUACUUUGGGAUAAGCCUGGGAAACUGGGUCUAAUACUGGAUAGGACCAUGCUGUAGGUGGUGUGGUGGAAAGAUUAGUUUCGGUAAGGGAUGAGCUCGCGGCCUAUCAGCUUGUUGGUGGGGUAAUGGCCUACCAAGGCGUCGACGGGUAGCCGGCCUGAGAGGGUGGACGGCCACAUUGGGACUGAGAUACGGCCCAGACUCCUACGGGAGGCAGCAGUGGGGAAUAUUGCACAAUGGGCGCAAGCCUGAUGCAGCGACGCCGCGUGGGGGAUGACGGCCUUCGGGUUGUAAACUCCUUUCAGCCAUGACGAAGCCCUUGUGGUGACGGUAGUGGUAGAAGAAGCACCGGCUAACUACGUG
rnacentral:rRNA from 1 species